UACGGGGGGGGCAAGCGUUGUUCGGAAUUACUGGGCGUAAAGGGCUCGUAGGCGGCCAACUAAGUCGGAUGUGAAAUCCCCAGGCUUAACCUGGGAACUGCAUCCGAUACUGGAUGGCUUGAAUUCGGGAGAGGGAUGCAGAAUUCCAGGUGUAGCGGUGAAAUGCGUAGAUAUCAGGAGGAACACCAAUGGCGAAGGCAGCACUCUGGGACGUGACUGACGCUGAGACGCGAAAGCGUGGGGAGCAAACAGG
rnacentral:rRNA from 1 species